rnacentral:rRNA from 1 species
AUUGAACGCUGGCGGCAUGCCUUACACAUGCAAGUCGAACGGCGGCACGGGAGCAAUCCUGGUGGCGAGUGGCGAACGGGUGAGUAAUGCAUCGGAACGUGACCAGUCGUGGGGGAUAACGCAGCGAAAGCUGCGCUAAUACCGCAUACGAUCUAUGGAUGAAAGCGGGGGACCGUAAGGCCUCGCGCGAUUGGAGCGGCCGAUGUCAGAUUAGGUAGUUGGUGGGGUAAAGGCUCACCAAGCCAACGAUCUGUAGCUGGUCUGAGAGGACGACCAGCCACACUGGGACUGAGACACGGCCCAGACUCCUACGGGAGGCAGCAGUGGGGAAUUUUGGACAAUGGGCGCAAGCCUGAUCCAGCAAUGCCGCGUGCAGGAAGAAGGCCUUCGGGUUGUAAACUGCUUUUGUACGGAACGAAACGGUCCUGGUUAAUACCCGGGGCUAAUGACGGUACCGUAAGAAUAAGCACCGGCUAACUACGUGCCAGCCGCCGCCGUAAAAC